AAAUUGAAGAGUUUGAUCAUGGCUCAGAUUGAACGCUGGCGGCAGGCCUAACACAUGCAAGUCGAACGGUAACAGGAAGCAGCUUGCUGCUUCGCUGACGAGUGGCGGACGGGUGAGUAAUGUCUGGGAAACUGCCUGAUGGAGGGGGAUAACUACUGGAAACGGUAGCUAAUACCGCAUAACGUCGCAAGACCAAAGAGGGGGACCUUCGGGCCUCUUGCCAUCGGAUGUGCCCAGAUGGGAUUAGCUAGUAGGUGGGGUAACGGCUCACCUAGGCGACGAUCCCUAGCUGGUCUGAGAGGAUGACCAGCCACACUGGAACUGAGACACGGUCCAGACUCCUACGGGAGGCAGCAGUGUAGGGAAUAUUGCACAAUGGGCGCAAGCCUGAUGCAGCCAUGCCGCGUGUAUGAAGAAGGCCUUCGGGUUGUAAAGUACUUUCAGCGGGGAGGAAGGCGAUAAGGUUAAUAACCUUGUCGAUUGACGUUACCCGCAGAAGAAGCACCGGCUAACUCCGUGCCAGCAGCCGCGGUAAUACGGAGGGUGCAAGCGUUAAUCGGAAUUACUGGGCGUAAAGCGCACGCAGGCGGUCUGUCAAGUCGGAUGUGAAAUCCCCGGGCUCAACCUGGGAACUGCAUUCGAAACUGGCAGGCUAGAGUCUUGUAGAGGGGGGUAGAAUUCCAGGUGUAGCGGUGAAAUGCGUAGAGAUCUGGAGGAAUACCGGUGGCGAAGGCGGCCCCCUGGACAAAGACUGACGCUCAGGUGCGAAAGCGUGGGGAGCAAACAGGAUUAGAUACCCGGUAGUCCACGCCGUAAACGAUGUCGACUUGGAGGUUGUGCCCUUGAGGCGUGGCUUCCGGAGCUAACGCGUUAAGUCGACCGCCUGGGGAGUACGGCCGCAAGGUUAAAACUCAAAUGAAUUGACGGGGGCCCGCACAAGCGGUGGAGCAUGUGGUUUAAUUCGAUGCAACGCGAAGAACCUUACCUACUCUUGACAUCCAGAGAACUUUCCAGAGAUGGAUUGGUGCCUUCGGGAACUCUGAGACAGGUGCUGCAUGGCUGUCGUCAGCUCGUGUUGUGAAAUGUUGGGUUAAGUCCCGCAACGAGCGCAACCCUUAUCCUUUGUUGCCAGCGGUUAGGCCGGGAACUCAAAGGAGACUGCCAGUGAUAAACUGGAGGAAGGUGGGGAUGACGUCAAGUCAUCAUGGCCCUUACGAGUAGGGCUACACACGUGCUACAAUGGCGCAUACAAAGAGAAGCGACCUCGCGAGAGCAAGCGGACCUCAUAAAGUGCGUCGUAGUCCGGAUUGGAGUCUGCAACUCGACUCCAUGAAGUCGGAAUCGCUAGUAAUCGUGGAUCAGAAUGCCACGGUGAAUACGUUCCCGGGCCUUGUACACACCGCCCGUCACACCAUGGGAGUGGGUUGCAAAAGAAGUAGGUAGCUUAACCUUCGGGAGGGCGCUUACCACUUUGUGAUUCAUGACUGGGGUGAAGUCGUAACAAGGUAACCGUAGGGGAACCUGCGGUUGGAUCACCUCCUUA
rnacentral:rRNA from 1 species